AGUCGCGCGAGAAUGUAGCAAUACAGGACAGCGGCGAAAGGGAGAGGACAACACGGGAAUCUGCCUUGGGGACGAGGAUAGCGUCGGGAAACUGACAGUAAUACUCGAUAAUGUUUGCGGACCAAAGGUGUGAUUCCGCCCCAAGAUGAGCCCGUGCCCCAUUAGCUAGUUGGCAGGGUAAUGGCCUACCAAGGCUGUGAUGGGUAGCUGGUGUGAGAGCACGACCAGCCUCACUGGCACUGAGACACUGGCCAGACACCUACGGGUGGCUGCAGUCGAGAAUCUUCGGCAAUGGACGAAAGUCUGACCGAGCGACGCCGCGUGCGGGAUGAAGGCCUUCGGGUUGUAAACCGCUGUCGUAGGGAAUCAAAUGCGUAGGGGUACUCCCCUUUGUUUGAGAGAUCCUAGGAGGAAGGAGAGGCUAAGCUCGUGCCAGCAGCCGCGGUAAGACGAGCUCUCCAAACGUUAUUCGGUAUUACUGGGCUUAAAGAGUUCGUAGGCGGCUCUGUAGGUGAGAUGUGAAAGCCCUCGGCUUAACCGAGGAACUGCGUUUCAAACCACAGGGCUUGAGGGAGAUAGGGGUAAGCGGAACAGAUGGUGGAGCGGUGAAAUGCAUUGAUAUCAUCUGGAACACCGGUGGCGAAGGCGGCUUACUGGGUCUUUUCUGACGCUGAGGAACGAAAGCUAGGGUAGCGAACGGGAUUAGAUACCCCGGUAGUCCUAGCCGUAAACGAUGAGCACUAGUCUGAGGGACUCUCACAGUUUCUCGGACGUAGCGAAAGUGUUAAGUGCUCCGCCUGGGGAGUAUGGUCGCAAGGCUGACACUCCAAGGAAUUGACGGGGGCUCAC
rnacentral:rRNA from 1 species